rnacentral:ncRNA from 1 species
AUGAAAUCGUAAAUAAAUUGCGACCUUAAAGAGUAAUCUUUAUUGAAUAAUUUAUCUAAUUCAUGGAACACCCUAACGUAAAGACGAGGGCAAUCAUGAGCUAAGCUCUUUAUUUAAAGAGAAAGUGCAACGACUAUCCUUGGAACGGACAUGAAAAUUGUCAAUAGGAGUAGGGCUCAAGUUAAUGGAGUAGGUGAGAAUCCUUUAAAUCGAAAUGGUAAAAAUCCUAUAUAAAAAAUAGGAUUGUGAUAUAGUCUAGACUUAUAGGAAACUAUGAG